GAUGAACGCUGGCGGCGUGCCUAAUACAUGCCAGUCGAGCGAGCAGAUAAGGAGCUUGCUCCUUUGACGUUAGCGGCGGACGGGUGAGUAACACGUGGGUAACCUACCUAUAAGACUGGGAUAACUUCGGGAAACCGGAGCUAAUACCGGAUAAUAUUUCGAACCGCAUGGUUCGAUAGUGAAAGAUGGUUUUGCUAUCACUUAUAGAUGGACCCGCGCCGUAUUAGCUAGUUGGUAAGGUAACGGCUUACCAAGGCGACGAUACGUAGCCGACCUGAGAGGGUGAUCGGCCACACUGGAACUGAGACACGGUCCAGACUCCUACGGGAGGCAGCAGUAGGGAAUCUUCCGCAAUGGGCGAAAGCCUGACGGAGCAACGCCGCGUGAGUGAUGAAGGUCUUCGGAUCGUAAAACUCUGUUAUUAGGGAAGAACAUACGUGUAAGUAACUGUGCACGUCUUGACGGUACCUAAUCAGAAAGCCACGGCUAACUACGUG
rnacentral:rRNA from 1 species